rnacentral:rRNA from 1 species
GACGAACGCUGGCGGCGUGCCUAAUACAUGCAAGUAGAACGCUGAAGGAGGAGCUUGCUCUUCUGGAUGAGUUGCGAACGGGUGAGUAACGCGUAGGUAACCUGCCUGGUAGCGGGGGAUAACUAUUGGAAACGAUAGCUAAUACCGCAUAAGAGUAGAUGUUGCAUGACAUUUACUUAAAAGGUGCAAUUGCAUCACUACCAGAUGGACCUGCGUUGUAUUAGCUAGUUGGUGGGGUAACGGCUUACCAAGGCGACGAUACAUAGCCGACCUGAGAGGGUGAGCGGCCACCGGGGGCAGGAGACAGGGCCAAGACCCAUGGGGGAGGCAGCAGGGGGGAAUCUGGGGAAAGGGAGGGAAGUCUGACCGAGCAACGCCGGGGGAGGAAAGAAUGUUUUCGGAUGGUAAAGCUCUGUUGAAAGAGAAGAACGAGUGUGAGAGUGGAAAGUUCACCCUGGGACGGUAUCUAACCAGAAAGGGACGGCUAAGGAGGUG